CCUCCUGGGAAAUCCUCGUGUUGCACCCCU
rnacentral:rRNA from 1 species